rnacentral:rRNA from 1 species
CCUACGGGUGGCAGCAGUGAGGAAUAUUGGUCAAUGGGCGGGAGCCUGAACCAGCCAAGUCGCGUGACGGAAGAAGGCGCUAGGCGUUGUAAACUUCUUUUGUCGGGGAGCAAAGGGCGCCACGCGUGGCGUUGUGAGUGUACCCGAAGAAAAAGCAUCGGCUAACUCCGUGCCAGCAGCCGCGGUAAUACGGAGGAUGCGAGCGGUAUCCGGAUUUUUUGGGUUUAAAGGGUGCGUAGGCGGGCCGGAAAGUCAGCGGUAAAAGGUCGGGGCUCAACCCCGGCGGGCCGUUGAAACUGAGGGACUAGAGAGGGCGAGAAGUAGGCGGAAUGCGUGGUGUAGCGGUGAAAUGCAUAGAUAUCGCGCAGAACUCCGAUUGCGAAGGCAGCGUACCGGCGCCGGACUGACGCUGAGGCACGAAAGCGUGGGUAUCGAACAGGAUUAGAUACCCGGGUAGUC